rnacentral:rRNA from 1 species
UGGGGAAUAUUGCACAAUGGGCGCAAGCCUGAUGCAGCCAUGCCGCGUGUAUGAAGAAGGCCUUCGGGUUGUAAAGUACUUUCAGCGGGGAGGAAGGGAGUAAAGUUAAUACCUUUGCUCAUUGACGUUACCCGCAGAAGAAGCACCGGCUAACUCCGUGCCAGCAGCCGCGGUAAUACGGAGGGUGCAAGCGUUAAUCGGAAUUACUGGGCGUAAAGCGCACGCAGGCGGUUUGUUAAGUCAGAUGUGAAAUCCCCGGGCUCAACCUGGGAACGGCAUCUGAUACUGGCAAGCUUGAGUAUCGUAGAGGGGGGUAGAAUUCCAGGUGUAGCGGUGAAAUGCGUAGAGAUCUGGAGGAAUACCGGUGGCGAAGGCGGCCCCCUGGACGAAGACUGACGCUCAGGUGCGAAAGCGUGGGGAGCAAACAGG